UAUGUUACCUAUCAACAUUUUACUAUAUUUAUAACGUAUACUAGAAGGUCAGAUAAUAUAAUGUGAUGCUUUACAAACUAAAGCCAGAAACUCGCUGCGUCAUUUGACCAUUGGUCGACGAACCCAACUCAGCUCUGCAACAUCGUUUACUUAUUGUCAGUGGCAGUAUUAACAGAUCUCAUCAAACACUAUCCGUUGAGCCUGCGUUCUCCCUGUGGAGAAAGGCAAGAAUCUUAACCACCGAGCUACAUCUUCACUACCACUUCUUCGCUCAGCUGGUUAAGGUCUUUCCCAACAACAAAAUCAUGUGGUGCAAAGCAUGUAUUACUUCAGCCACAUAGUAUAGGGGAACUGGCCUCUGAACACACCAUGUUUCAUUCAUCAGACAAUCAUUGAUUUCAUCUGCAGUCAUCAUAAUUGCAAUUAGAAAUAUUUUACUUUUAAUAAGUUCAACUUUACAAUGAUCAUCAUCAUUUUAUCAUCAGUUCAAAAGUAUUUAGAAAUAAUCUAUUUGUGUGCCAUUUCUUAAUUAAUAUUAGUAUUUGUUUUUGUUUUGAAAUAAUCUAGGUUGUUAUACUUAAAUGUUUUACUAAACUAUAGUCUUAUUUUAACCAGCGCAUCUUGCCUACAUCAUGUUGUUGUUAUCACAUAACUUAAUUUAAUAUUUUUAUCCACCAGAAACCAUAGUCUGUUAUUUUAAUCACAUGAAUCUUUGCUACAUGCUGAUGUAGUUAUAAGUUACUUUUAAUGUGGCAGCUCUUUAAAAUGUGUAAUAUAAUAUACAUUAUGCUGGAUAUUGACUAUGAAUACAUAUGAUUUGCAAUGUUUUAACCAGUGAGUGAAAGAAAUUGAUCCAAUAUCUAAUAAUGUUGUGUGUUAUGUGGAUUAUAGGAGGACGGUCUUGUUAUCGUUUCAUCUGUUGAAAGAAUGAUGUCUGCUGAAUUGUAAUUUGUUAAGCAGUUUUGCAAUUCUAUAAAUCAACAACACACUUUAGUAGAUUUAUAAUUGACAUUUACUGGUUUUGUUUUGUGAUAACAAAUAAUUUUUAAAAAUCAAAUAUUAUAUGAUAUAAAUUUUACAAAAUAAGUAGAUGAUAUUGAAAAAAAAAUGUCAUUUUAAAGUGAGAGUGAAUUGAAGCUUAAGGAUGAUGACGACGGUGAUGGCAAUAAUGAUGACCUUU